AGGACGAACGCUGGCGGCGUGCUUAACACAUGCAAGUCGAGCGGAAAGGCCCUUCGGGGUACUCGAGCGGCGAACGGGUGAGUAACACGUGGGCAACCUGCCCUUACGCUCUGGGAGUAGCUCCGGGAAACCGGAAGUUAAUACCGGAUAUGACCUAGGCCGACAUCGGUCCGUGGUGGAAAAGUUUUUCGGCUAGGGAUGGACUCGCGGCCUAUCAGCUAGUUGGUGGGGUAAUGGGCCUACCAAGGCGACGACGGGUAG
rnacentral:rRNA from 1 species